AUCUCUUAUCUCUUGAGCUCGUGCUUCACCAAAGAAUUCACGCAGGAACGCCUUUUGGAUGUCAGUCCAAGAUGUAAGAGAUCCUGGUGGUAGCUGCUUAAGCCAAUGCGAAGCUUCUCCAACAAGUGAGUGUUUAAAGAGCUUGCAAAGAAGGUAGUCCUCAGGGACUCCAUCCAUACUGAUAGCAGAAAUAAGAUCCUCAAAUCUAUCCAGAUGGUCCAUAGGAUGCUCGUGAGAUAACCCAUAGUAGGGUAUCUGUGCCACGAUUGUGUAAUGUGGCUUCAGCUCGAAAUUCUGUGUCUGGAGAUCUGGUAGGCGAAUGGCUGAUCUGUUGAAGUAGUAUUCAUCAGGAUUGUUGUAGUCAGCCAGUGUCCUUGGUCGAGCAGCCUCAUCUACAGGUAUAGCAGCUUCUGUAGCAACAGUAUCGUGCUCAGGGAUUGCAGUCCCCUGAGCAUCUAGUUUCUGACCUGCUGCAUUACACAGAUGACCAUAAGGGUCAUGCAGGUCUCCAUUCUCAUCCCUC
rnacentral:lncRNA from 1 species